rnacentral:rRNA from 1 species
CAACAGAUGAUGCCUAUCAACUGUUUAAAGAUUGGUUCUGCUAUCACUCUUGGGAUGGACCUGCGGUGCAUUAGCUAGUUGGUAGGGUAACGGCCUACCAAGGGCGAUGAUGCAUAGCCCGAGUUGAGAGACUGAUCGGCCACAUUGGGGACUGAGACACGGCCCAAACUCCUACGGGAGGCAGCAGUAGGGAAUCUUCCACAAUGGACGCAAGUCUGAUGGAGCAAACGCCGCGUGAGUGAAGAAGGGUUUCGGCUCGUAAAGCUCUGUUGUUGGUGAAGAAGGACAGGGGUAGUAACUGACCCUUUGUUUGACGGUAAUCAAUUAGAAAGUCACGGCUAACUACAUGCCAGCAGCCGCGGUAAAU